rnacentral:rRNA from 1 species
ACUGGGAGACUUGAGUAUGUUUGAGGUAGGCGGAAUGCGUGGUGUAGCGGUGAAAUGCAUAGAUAUCACGCAGAACUCCGAUUGCGAAGGCAGCUUGCCAAGCCAUAACUGACACUGAAGCACGAAAGCGUGGGUAUCAAACAGGAUUAGAUACCCUGGUAGUCCACGCAGUAAACGAUGAUUACUAGGAGUUUGCGAUAAAAUGUAAGCUCUACAGCGAAAGCGUUAAGUAAUCCACCUGGGGAGUACGCCGGCAACGGUGAAACUCAAAGGAAUUGACGGGGGCCCGCACAAGCGGAGGAACAUGUGGUUUAAUUCGAUGAUACGCGAGGAACCUUACCCGGGAUUGAACGCAGUCUGACGGGGGUGGAAACACCCUUUCUAGCAAUAGCAGAUUGCGAGGUGCUGCAUGGUUGUCGUCAGCUCGUGCCGUGAGGUGUCGGCUUAAGUGCCAUAACGAGCGCAACCCCUGCCGACAGUUACUAACAAGUAGCGUUGAGGACUCUGUCGGGACUGCCAGCGUAAGCUGCGAGGAAGGCGGGGAUGACGUCAAAUCAGCACGGCCCUUACAUCCGGGGCGACACACGUGUUACAAUGGCGUGGACAGAGGGCGGCCACCUGGCGACAGGGCGCAAAUCCCGAAACCACGUCUCAGUUCGGAUCGGAGUCUGCAACCCGACUCCGUGAAGCUGGAUUCGCUAGUAAUCGCGCAUCAGCCAUGGCGCGGUGAAUACGUUCCCGGGCCUUGUACACACCGCCCGUCAAGCCAUGGGAGCCGGGGGUACCUGAAGUCCGUAACCGCGAGGGGCGGCCUAGGGUAAAACUGGUGACUGGGGCUAAGUCGUAACAAGGUAACCA